rnacentral:rRNA from 1 species
CACGAACGCUGGCGGCGUGCCUAAUACAUGCAAGUCGAGCGCAGGAAACUGACGGAACUCUUCGGAGGGAAGGCAGUGGAAUGAGCGGCGGACGGGUGAGUAACACGUAAGGAACCUGCCUCAAGGAUUGGGAUAACUCCGAGAAAUCGGAGCUAAUACCGGAUAGUUCAACGGACCGCAUGGCCCGCUGAUGAAAGGCGCUUCGGCGUCACCUUGAGAUGGCCUUGCGGUGCAUUAGCUAGUUGGGGGGGUAACGGCCCACCAAGGCGACGAUGCAUAGCCGACCUGAGAGGGUGAUCGGCCACACUGGGACUGAGACACGGCCCAGACUCCUACGGGAGGCAGCAGUAGGGAAUCUUCCACAAUGGACGAAAGUCUGGUGGAGCAACGCCGCGUGAGUGAUGAAGGUUUUCGGAUCGUAAAACUCUGUUGUAAGGGAAGAACACGUACGAGAGGAAAUGCUCGUACCUUGACGGUACCUUACGAGAAAGCCACGGCUAACUACGUGCCAGCCGCCGCAGUAAAAC